GGGGCGGCUGCUCUCGGCGGGCUGGGCUGGAAGUUACCAGUGUCAGGCUAGUCGGCAAAUGAAGCAAAAAUGCCCCGCGGGAGCUCUGGCCGCGCCAGGCGAGGCGCGCUCGGCAGCCCCUCGGGGCCACGGACGGUCGGGCGCGGGGCGCCUCUGUUCCGACUCUCUCACGGGGGCGACGGCUGCGGAUUUGGCGGCUGUCUGAGUUAUUACUGCUGCUGGCGCAUCAUAGACACUGGAUCAAUGAAUCUUCAGGCUUCUAGGAAUAUUUGCAAGAGGAGGAGGAAUACCGUGAACGUGAGGACAUGCGAAAGAUGGUGAUACUUGCAACCUAGGGCUGAACUGGAGGUAAUUUAUGGGUGGAUCAAUAACAUGCGAAGGUUCUUGAAAGACUAUUAGACAGCAGCAAGCGUGAUUUACGAUUAAAUAAUUUAAAUUGUGUAUUUAUC